GUCUACGGCCAUGCAGCCCUGAACAAGCCCGAUCCCGUCUGAUCUCGGAAGCUAAGCAGGGUCAGGCCUGGUUAAUACUUGGAUGGGAGACCACCUAGGGAGACCAGGUGCUGUAAGAG
rnacentral:rRNA from 1 species